rnacentral:rRNA from 1 species
UACGAAGGGUGCAAACGUUGCUCGGAAUUAUUGGGCGUAAAGCGCACGUAGGCGGCUUUGCAAGUCGGAUGUGAAAGCCCUCGGCUCAACCAAGGAAGUGCAUCCGAAACUGCAGAGCUUGAGUACUUAAGAGGAUCGCGGAAUUCCCGGUGUAGAGGUGAAAUUCGUAGAUAUCGGGAGGAACACCAGUGGCGAAGGCGGCGAUCUGGGAAGAUAUUGACGCUGAGGUGCGAAAGCGUGGGGAGCAAACAGG